UACGUAGGGACCAAGCGUUGUUCGGAUUUACUGGGCGUAAAGAGCGUGUAGGCGGCCUGACAGGUCUGCUGUGAAAACUCGAGGCUCAACCUCGAGAUGUCGGCGGAAACCGUCUGGCUAGAGUCCGGAAGAGGAGAGUGGAAUUCCUGGUGUAGCGGUGAAAUGCGCAGAUAUCAGGAAGAACACCUAUGGCGAAGGCAGCUCUCUGGGACGGUACUGACGCUGAGACGCGAAAGCGUGGGGAGCGAACAGG
rnacentral:rRNA from 1 species